rnacentral:misc_RNA from 1 species
AUGAAUACAUCUUCAUUGAUAACACCCCCCUCUGUGAACAUGUUACCCUGUUGCUUCCCGUGGGCCCGCCUCUCCGGGGGCGGAUCCCAUGCCUGCGGGGAGGUCUUCAACUGAAACCCUUUGUUUUUGCCAUGCCAUCUCUAGUCUGAACAACCAAAAGCGAAACGUUA